AAGAGAAAAAUGAAGACAGGACAUUUUGAAAUAGUCACCAUGCUGCUGGCAACCAUGAUUCUCGUGGACAUUUUCCAGAAUAUUUUCAACCCAUCUAUGUCUACAACCCUGGUGAGAAAAACCAGAAGCUUGAAGACCAUAGUAAGAAAAACCGGAAGCUUGAAGACCAUGGUGAGAAAAAACAGAAGCUUGAAGACUAUGAUGUGAAAAUCCUUGAACCCACCCAAAUACCUGCUCCAGGUCCAGUUCCUGUUCCAGGUCCCAAAAGUCAUCCUUCUGCAUCCUCGGGCAAACUCCUGCUUCCACAGUUUGGGAUGGUCAUCAUUUUAAUCAGUGUUUCUGCUAUAAAUCUCUUUGUUGCUCUGUAGGUUGAUGCAUUAUC
rnacentral:sRNA from 1 species